UACGUAGGGCGCAAGCGUUAUCCGGAAUUAUUGGGCGUAAAGAGCUCGUAGGCGGUUUGUCGCGUCUGCCGUGAAAGUCCGGGGCUCAACUCCGGAUCUGCGGUGGGUACGGGCAGACUAGAGUGAUGUAGGGGAGACUGGAAUUCCUGGUGUAGCGGUGAAAUGCGCAGAUAUCAGGAGGAACACCGGUAGCGAAGGCGGGUCUCUGGGCCGAUUAACUGACGCUGAGGUGACGAAAGCGUGGGGAGCAAACAGG
rnacentral:rRNA from 1 species